GUAGGUGGCAAGCGUUGUCCGGAAUUAUUGGGCGUAAAGCGCGCGCAGGCGGUCCUUUAAGUCUGAUGUGAAAGCCCACGGCUCAACCGUGGAGGGUCAUUGGAAACUGGGGGACUUGAGUACAGAAGAGGAAAGCGGAAUUCCAAGUGUAGCGGUGAAAUGCGUAGAGAUUUGGAGGAACACCAGUGGCGAAGGCGGCUUUCUGGUCUGUAACUGACGCUGAGGCGCGAAAGCGUGGGGAGCAAACAGGAUUAGAUACCCUGGUAGUCCACGCCGUAAACGAUGAGUGCUAAGUGUUAGGGGGGGUUCCCGCCCCCCUUAGUGCUGCAGCUAACGCAUUAAGCACUCCGCCUGGGGAGUACGGCCGCAAGGCUG
rnacentral:rRNA from 1 species